CCUACGGGGGCUGCAGUGGGGAAUAUUGGACAAUGGGCGAAAGCCUGAUCCAGCCAUGCCGCGUGUGUGAAGAAGGCCUUCGGGUUGUAAAGCACUUUCAGUGGGGAAGAAAGCCUUGGGGCUAAUACCCUCGAGGAAGGACAUCACCCACAGAAGAAGCACCGGCUAACUCCGUGCCAGCAGCCGCGGUAAUACGGAGGGUGCGAGCGUUAAUCGGAAUUACUGGGCGUAAAGCGCGCGUAGGCGGUCUGAUAAGCCGGUUGUGAAAGCCCCGGGCUCAACCUGGGAACGGCAUCCGGAACUGUCAGGCUAGAGUGCAGGAGAGGAAGGUAGAAUUCCCGGUGUAGCAGUGAAAUGCGUAGAGAUCGGGAGGAAUACCAGUGGCGAAGGCGGCCUUCUGGACUGACACUGACGCUGAGGUGCGAAAGCGUGGGUAGCAAACAGGAUUAGAUACCCCAGUAGUC
rnacentral:rRNA from 1 species